GCUAUGAUGACAUUUUUUCACCUGAUCAGUUUUGAGCUGAUUGUUCAUUUGUUCUCUAAGAAGUUCUGAGCCU